rnacentral:rRNA from 1 species
CCCACGGGGGGCUGCAGUGGGGAAUAUUGGACAAUGGGCGAAAGCCUGAUCCAGCCAUGCCGCGUGUGUGAAGAAGGCCUUCGGGUUGUAAAGCACUUUCAGUGGGGAAGAAAGCCUUGGGGCUAAUACCCUCGAGGAAGGACAUCACCCACAGAAGAAGCACCGGCUAACUCCGUGCCAGCAGCCGCGGUAAUACGGAGGGUGCGAGCGUUAAUCGGAAUUACUGGGCGUAAAGCGCGCGUAGGCGGUCUGAUAAGCCGGUUGUGAAAGCCCCGGGCUCAACCUGGGAACGGCAUCCGGAACUGUCAGGCUAGAGUGCAGGAGAGGAAGGUAGAAUUCCCGGUGUAGCGGUGAAAUGCGUAGAGAUCGGGAGGAAUACCAGUGGCGAAGGCGGCCUUCUGGACUGACACUGACGCUGAGGUGCGAAAGCGUGGGUAGCAAACAGGAUUAGAUACCCUGGUAGUC